GCAUCGGUGGUGCAUGGUGUGCACUGCCCUAAAGUAGGAAGACUUUCAGUUGCAGAAUGUCAGGCAGAGUCCAGACCGGGGUUCGACUCCCCGCCGGUGCA